CCCACCCCAGAGGGAAUGUUGGUGUUUUACUUUUUUACUUCUCAAUUUUUUAAUCUCCACUUUCUUGACUUCCUCUAGGACGUUCACGACGUCUCUAUUGUGGCACACACAUCAGAUGAGGUCUCUGCAGGGGCAGAUUGAAGAGACAUUUCACCAGAAGCACAGUGUGUGACUUUAAAGACUGGCAAACCAAGGAUCGGAUGAUAUCCCCUGACUUUUUGAGGUAAGGCAUGUAGUUAACUGAAAAAUUCUGAUAAUCUUGGUGGUUGUCCAAA
rnacentral:lncRNA from 1 species